rnacentral:rRNA from 1 species
UACGUAGGGGGCAAGCGUUGUCCGGAUUCAUUGGGCGUAAAGAGCGUGUAGGCGGCCAGGUAGGUCGGUUGUGAAAACUGGAGGCUCAACCUUCAGAGUUCGACCGAAACCAUCUGGCUAGAGUCCGGGAGAGGAGAGUGGAAUUCCUGGUGUAGCGGUGAAAUGCGCAGAUAUCAGGAAGAACACCCGUGGCGAAAGCGGCUCUCUGGAACGGUACUGACGCUGAGACGCGAAAGCGUGGGGAGCGAACAGG